rnacentral:rRNA from 1 species
CGAAGCGUGCGAUUGGAUUGCACGUCUAAGCAGUAAGGCUGAGUAUUAGGCAAAUCCGGUACUCGUUAAGGCUGAGCUGUGAUGGGGAGAAGACAUUGUGUCUUCGAGUCGUUGAUUUCACACUGCCGAGAAAAGCCUCUAGAUAGAAAAUAGGUGCCCGUACCGCAAACCGACACAGGUAGUCAAGAUGAGAAUUCUAAGGUGAGCGAGCGAACUCUCGUUAAGGAACUCGGCAAAAUGACCCCGUAACUUCGGGAGAAGGGGUGCUCUUUAGGGUUAACGCCCAGAAGAGCCGCAGUGAAUAGGCCCAAGCGACUGUUUAUCAAAAACACAGGUCUCUGCUAAACCGUAAGGUGAUGUAUAGGGGCUGACGCCUGCCCGGUGCUGGAAGGUUAAGAGGAGUGGUUAGCUUCUGCGAAGCUACGAAUCGAAGCCCCAGUAAACGGCGGCCGUAACUAUAACGGUCCUAAGGUAGCGAAAUUCCUUGUCGGGUAAGUUCCGACCCGCACGAAAGGCGUAACGAUUUGGGCACUGUCUCAACGAGAGACUCGGUGAAAUCAUAGUACCUGUGAAGAUGCAGGUUACCCGCGACAGGACGGAAAGACCCCGUGGAGCUUUACUGUAGCCUGAUAUUGAAAUUCGGCACAGCUUGUACAGGAUAGGUAGGAGCCUUUGAAACGUGAGCGCUAGCUUACGUGGAGGCGCUGGUGGGAUACUACCCUAGCUGUGUUGGCUUUC